CAGUGUGCUAAAAUCGACUCGCAACACAGAGCCAAUCAGCGGGUAAUGGAGUUAUUGUCGAGACUAAACGAGCAUGUGGCAAAUUCCCAUGCCCGUGCCUUAGCAGAUGGGCCAUUGACAGGAGAUUACGUACACAUGGUCGACAUUCAUGGAGGAACUCCCAUAGGGCAUAAUCAUAAACCAAGCUUGAGGUGGCUCGUGAUUAACAAUUAAACUCAAUAAAUGGCAGGAAAGGUGAGGAGUGGUGGUGAAACAGGCCAUCUGUGUCAGCCAUGGCGUCAGCAUACUACUGUUGUUUUAUUGCCAUUUUGG